rnacentral:lncRNA from 1 species
CUGAACUUCCAAACUUGUCCCACUGGCCACUGAACUUCAAUAUGUUACUGCCCAUUACUCAUCGGCUGAAAUCUGUUAAGUGACGUACCAACGUGGUAGAUGGAAAGUCUAGCUGGCCGGUUAAAUCAGUCCAAGUGUUAAGUGUUUUUUCAUCAGCUCCACAUCAGCCGAUACAAACACGUCUUUGCCAUAUUCAUUCACGCCUUUCACUUUCACUGAACCCCAAAUCAUUUCAUCCCCUCUCCUGCAAUCUUCCCCCACCCAAUACGAGAUCGAAGCCCUAAAUCCCCCAAAUCGAAACAAAGCCAACAAUCGAAAUCGAAGCCACUAAAUCUACUGAGCUCGAAAGAAUUUUACUCAGCCAAGGUUCUUCCUGCCUUUGUUGAUUGUUGAAAGAGCCCAACCGAACGUGAAGAAGCCGUAUCCAUUUCACUACAGUACGAGCUAAUGGACGGACGACGCGAAGGUAAUUUCCCAACUCUUUUUGUGUUUUUUUGGGUGCGAUAAGUUUAGAAACGUGCUGAAAAUCACAUAGAUUUUAUUUUAUUUUAUUUUAUUUUUUUGCUGAAGCCGUACCCAUUUCACUUCUGUGAUUUUAUGCUUUUAUGAUUAUUUUGUUGUUCAUCAUUCAUAUGUUUCUGAUCUUUUGUUUUUGUUUUUAUUUUUUAUUUUUUGACUGAAAAUAAAAAUUUUCAUACGCAGCCAAGAACAUAGUUAUUCUGAUCUCAUAGUAUCUUAUGGGCAUUAGGAUCAGCCUCACUGAAAAUAAAGAUUUUACAAAUGUUUUGGGACGGGUGCAGCCUCACUGCAGAACUACCUGGAAUUGUGUGACAUUCAACUAAUUAGAGUUCCCGCAUGCAGUUUUAAUGCCUUAGUUUGCGUAACCCCUCGAAAGGGGGAUGUUUACUUUCAUAUUAUACUGUUUGGAUUUGCUAAUUUGCAUUUGGGUUGUGGUUAAAUUAAAAUGUGUGAUCCUUUUGUGUUGUAGAUGUGUUUUCUAACUUGUGGCUCACACAUGGCGGCAAGGGAUAUGUGAACGAAAACAUAGGUUGCAGCGUUUCAAGUGGAGCGAAGUUACUUACCACGAAGAAAAUGUGCAAUUUGAGGGUGAGCCAAGUGGUGCACCGACAAUUUGAGAUCGACAAGGGCAUGACCACAACAACGAGCGAAAUCUGCCGAAUUGAAAGAUGCACAGCCACGAUAAAUUAUGUGAUAUCAGUUAGGUGUUUUUGGUUUUUUGGUAAUGUUGGAAAUUAUGUGGGCAUAGAUUCUUAUCGUCUUCUUUUUGUCCAAAUAAAAUCAAACAUUUGGUCCUUGGAAUUUUGCUUUUGUAUGUAUCCGGUAAUUACUUUUGUAUGUAUGUGGAUGGAUGUGGAAUGGAUACUAGAAUUUGGCAAUCGGCAGCUCGCUUUCACUGCUAUAGUUCAUUUGUAAUGCAACAUAGUCCACUUUGCAGCUUCAGUUCAGUGCUAUGUAGUAGAACAGAUUUAGUUCACUUUGUAAUGCAAUUUCAGCUUCUGUUCAAUGCCUUUUAUUCACUUUGUAGUGCAGUUUGAAGAAACUAGAAACAGCAAAUCUGAAGGAAAUUAUGGAUCUGCAAAGGUAGAC